AGUCACUGCUAUCGGUGUUCGACUAAGCCAUGCGAGUCAAAUGUUCUUCGUGAACAUGGCGUACUGCUCAGUAACACGUGGAUAACCUGCCCUUGGGUCUGGCAUAACCCCGGGAAACUGGGGAUAAUUCCGGAUAGAUCAUAGAUGCUGGAAUGCGCUGUGAUCCAAAGCUAUUGUGCCUAAGGAUGGGUCUGCGGUCUAUCAGGUUGUAGUGGGUGUAAUGUACCUACUAGCCUACGACGGAUACGGGUUGUGGGAGCAAGAGCCCGGAGAUGGAUUCUGAGACAUGAAUCCAGGCCCUACGGGGCGCAGCAGGCGCGAAAACUUUACAAUGCGGGGAACCGCGAUAAGGGGACACCGAGUGCCAGCAUCCUAUGUUGGCUGUCCAUAUGUCUAAAUCACAUGUGUUAGCAAGGGCCGGGCAGGACCGGUGCCAGCCGCCGCGGUAACACCGGCGGCCCGAGUGGUGGCCACUAUUAUUGGGUCUAAAGGGUCCGUAGCCGGUUUGGUCAGUCUUCCGGGAAAUCUGACGGCUUAACCGUUAGGCUUUCGGGGGAUACUACCAGGCUUGGGACCGGGAGAGGUAAGAGGUACUACGGGGGUAGGAGUGAAAUCUUGUAAUCCCUGUGGGACCACCAGUGGCGAAGGCGUCUUACCAGAACGGGUCCGACGGUGANGGACGAAAGCUAAAAGCACGAACCGGAUUAGAUACCCGGGUAGUCCCAGCUGUAAACUAUGCUCGCUAGGUGUCAGNAGACGNUGCGACCGUUUCUGAUGCCGCAGAAAAGCCNUAAAGCGAA
rnacentral:rRNA from 1 species